UUGACCUCAGAUCAGGUAGGACUACCCGCUGAA
rnacentral:rRNA from 1 species